UACGUAGGGUCCGAGCGUUGUCCGGAAUUACUGGGCGUAAAGGGCUCGUAGGCGGCCAACUAAGCCGGAUGUGAAAUCCCCAGGCUUAACCUGGGAACUGCAUCCGAUACUGGAUGGCUUGAAUUCGGGAGAGGGAUGCAGAAUUCCAGGUGUAGCGGUGAAAUGCGUAGAUAUCUGGAGGAAUACCGGUGGCGAAGGCGGCAUCCUGGACCGACAUUGACGCUGAGGAGCGAAAGCUAGGGGAGCAAACGGG
rnacentral:rRNA from 1 species